GGCGGACCCGGCGGCGCCGAGAUGGGCGGGAGCAGAGCCCCGAAGAGCGGAGGCGGAGAUGGCGCUGAGCUUAGCUGGUGCUCCGGGAAAUAGAGAGUUGGGCAGAGUUCCCAUCCUGUGGAGCUUGCAGUUGGAAAAAUCCUCUACACACCAAGAAGGCUGGCAGAGUAGCAGUUGAUCCCCAGUGGGAGCCAGAGGGGGAAGGAAGCAACUAGCAAGCCAUUCUAGAAGUGCUGUGUGGUGUUUGGAGAGCUGGGUACCAGCUGCAGCACAGAUUUCCAGAGGUUUCAGCUGAGUGAGGAGAGGGCUGUGGGCUCAGGGUGCUUGAUCAAAGUGGGGCCUCCAGGACAGCCUGUUCUGUCUGCAGAGAAGUGCAGUUGGUGAGCAGUGUUAAAACACAGAACCAGCAGUGCCCAGGAACAUGUCUCUUCUGUGUCUCUCCUGCCCAUGCCCCACAGAUCUAAAUAUAUAUGAUUAAAUAUAAUAAACCACAGUGCCAGUACUUGUACAGGAGAGCAAGAGGACAGAGAAGAGGCCUCACCCAGAUGAACCAGAUGCUCUUCAGUGUCUGAGUCCUGUAAUGAUCUUGCAAUAAUACUUGUUAAACUCUGACCCUGAAAGGUGAGGAAGUGAAGGAAAUGGAAGAGUGAAAUUUGGGGAGUCUGGGGCAAAAAAGCCAAAGGAACCACGGGACAGCCUGUCUGGUUGAGAGAUUGAAAUUCCCAUAUGUCCCAAGAUGACGACUUCCCAGGGUACGCUGUGGCCACGGGGAUGAGGCGUCCACCAGAACAUCCCAUGGCAUUUCCAUGACUGCAGCAGACUGGAGGAAGCCUUAAGAACCUGAGCACCUGCUUCAUGCUGUCUGGACAGCUCAAAGAACUGCAGAGGGAAGGGAAUAAUCUCCCCCAGACCUUUGACAGCAUCACAUUUCCACCCCGUCACGGUGCCCGGUACGUGCAGUGCUGGCAGGAAGAGCUGGGGAAACUCCUGUUUGCUGGGCCAUGACCUGUGGAGCUGCAUCAUUUUAGGAAAUACCAGUUAAUGGAAUUGUCACCUUUAUGGACUCAUGCUCCAUUUCUCAACCUGUCUGGACUUUGGCCUCCAAAGGUUACCACAGCUAGUGAAGUAAUAUGAUUGAGUCUUUUCCGACAGAUUUAUGCAAGAUUUCUUCUCCAGCAAGUGUCACAUCGAGUCUAGUUCUGCAAAAGAGAAUAUUUCAAAGAUGCCAACUGUCAUCUAAACCCACUAAAUUGUUCUGUGGGGUUGAGAGGACUGAGGGCCAUCUCGGGCAAUUCUGAUUUACACUACCUGGAGCUGUUUCCCCGCUGCUUGAAAUACGGGCUCUGGUUAAUCACAAAAAAAGAGAACAUCCCUGUCUCCCAGAAAGCACAUUUAAAAUGGAAUUUUCAUUAGUUACUCUGUAAUGAAAAGGCAAAGGGUGUAUUUUAAGUGAAUCUGUCCAGAAUCUUGGAAGAAGGGGGGGUGUUAUUUGAUGGAAAACUACAGCAGCCACACACUAAACAGGAAAAAUUGGUCUUGAGUUCAUUUAAGACACAUACAUCCACAGAAUAUUUUCAAGUUUAUGGAAAGAUUUUGGAAUUAUAGAGGAUUCACUGCACAUGUAUCUGCUCCUCCUGCAUUUGAUACAAAGCACAAAUUAAUCAUCAUUAUUCUGCACUAAUAUAACACCUCUUAACCCUCAGCUUUCAGAAUAUUUCAAAGGAGCAAUGAAUUAAGCCUCAUGUGGGCUUGGGAAUAUGUGAUAAUCUAAACUUGGAUUCUUUAAUAAAAAGCAUUUUCAGGACUUUGAUUUUGGAAGUUGGAAACUUAUAAUUGUUCUUGAAAAUAUCUUCCUUUGUCACUCACUCGGAAAGAAAUCAUGUGAGUACUAGAGAAGUGAGAGGAAAUGGAAAAAUGUAUUGAGCAAAAGUUAAUAAAUUUGUCUGUACUUAUUUUUGUUAUUUAUUGGAGCAAAAAGACCUAGGUAAAUUGAGGUGCUAAUGUGAUAUAAGUGUAAAAAAGGCAAAUUUGAUGCCUGUCUGUAACUAAAAGAGUGCAGGGGGAAUUAUUAUUGCCACUGUACAAGUCUCUUGCAAGCCAUCAUUUAAACAUUACACAGUAUGUCAGACUCUGAUCACUCACGCUCAGAAAAGAUGAAUUCUGACUGACAGAAGUGAAGAAAAAACUAUUAGAUAAUCCACAACUUGCUGUUAUGAGAGAAAAUGAAUGAUUAAUAUUUAAGUUGGCAAAACAAAUAAGGGACUUCAGUGGUGUCUACAAAUACAUUGUGGGAGGAGAACAAGUAUUAUACUAAAAGAAACUGUCAGUGUAUGACUAUACAGAGGGCAGAAAUAAAUUUGUUUGUAAUGAACAGAGGAAUGGGAUUCUGGAACAGAAUCAGAUCCAUUUCUCUGGGCUUCA